CUGUUCAAAGUAUACAGAAUGUCACACCUUCUGCACCAUUACUACAACUCAGAGACCCCUAAACUCGACAUCCAACCCCAGCAUCACUCAAAUAGGUCCAGACCAUUAUCCCCUCCUGACCAUCGGGUAUGUCCUUGUGGUUGUCCUGGUGACCACUCUGUUAAUGGCCUGUCUCAUUGUCCUGACUAAGGGUGGAUGGAGGGUACAUGGCUGUUGUGCGACCCCUGAAAAGGACCUCCAGUUGCCUACAAGGGACACAUCAGCCAACGGUCAGCCAAAUGGCCAAACUUCACUGGUAAGUAUCCGUUUCUUGUGUUAUAUUUGGAUCAUUAUCAGUUAUAG